UACGUAGGGUGCAAGCGUUGUCCGGAAUUAUUGGGCGUAAAGAGCUCGUAGGCGGUUUGUCGCGUCUGCUGUGAAAACUCAGGGCUUAACUCUGAGCUUGCAGUGGGUACGGGCAGACUAGAGUGCGGUAGGGGAGACUGGAAUUCCUGGUGUAGCGGUGAAAUGCGCAGAUAUCAGGAAGAACACCCGUGGCUAAGGCGGCUCUCUAGUACGGUACUGACGCUGAGACGCGAAAGCGUGGGGAGCGAACAGG
rnacentral:rRNA from 1 species